AGUUCCUGACGUAUAGAUGUAGAGGGCAGGGCUCUUUAAGGUGACCUUUGACCUGAGCUGUGGGUCCAGAGGUUGAUCUGAGGCCUGUUGUAUCCUGCUGCUGCUCAGAGUAUUCACGCCCUCCGUCACACACUUCUCCUCCUCCUCACCCAGCACAAACACACUUAUACUCCUCUCCCUCAGGGUGGGGAGCACCUCCUCUACCGCUCCACGCAACUCUGGGGGAGGAGAGAGGGAGGGUCACAGACAGAGCAAGCAUGAGACAGAAUCCUAUUAAUUCUGGCCUGUGCACUACUAGCACUGCCUCCCACUAGCUGCAUAGAGGGAAAGGAGGAUACCCUCUGAAUCAGAGAGGUGUGGGGGCUGACAUAAUCAACAUCCACGUUUUCAGUGCCUGGGGAACAGUGGGUUAACUGCCUUGUUCAGGAGCAGAACGACAGAUUUUUACCUUCAACACCAAGGUAAUUGGGCUGGGCUUACCUGAAGCAGCCAGGAGCACGUUGGUUCCGCAGCAGGUGAAACAGUGCAAUAAGGACUUGGACCUGAUGUUGUAGUUGAGCAGAGCGACUGUACAUCCAAGUUUAGCCAGGGCCAGCCAGAUAAACACAUACAUGGGCUCGUUACCCAUCAAGAGGGCGACAGUGUCCCCUUCCUUCACGCUGGCGUGCUGUGAGAGCGCCCGGGCCAACUUGUUGCUCUGCUUGUCAACAUCCCGGUAUGUAUACGAACUCUUCUCGAAUACAAUAAACUGUUUGUUGGGGUGUUUUUUGACCUUAUCGAGAAAACAGUCCAGCAUGCUGUAGAACGGUUUGCUCCUCUUGAUUCUGUUAAUUCGUAACCCGAGUAAGAUGCAAGUCACUGUGUAGCGCAGGUCCUGCGUAAAGUAAGGAUUUCUGAGAUAAAGGACAAGUGGCAGUAUAGCCAAUCCUGCCAAUAUGGUAUAUAAUAAUACGUACAUAUUGAAAGUUAAGGUCUACUUCUUUGUGAUUGUCAAUAAAAGGUGUCUCCUUCUUGGCCGUGCUGUUUAAGAAAGUAACGGGUUAUUGCAACACCUCCAGUCCACAACUCUCCACCACCUUUGGACGCAUGUAGGCGUGAAAUCCCCAACAGCCAAUGGCUUUGCGAGGAAUAUAAAGUAAGGAAGUAGUAGGCAAUUCUAUUCUUCUAAUUAUGACCAUGGCAGUGACAUAUUACAGACAGACACCUCUAGGGCAUUGACCUCCAUGGAAGGACUGGGCAUCUGGCAUUUAUUUGCCGAUUGGGCCAGUCUAACUUUUUUCCUCCGGGUGCACAAUGAAAAUGAUCUGGAUAAUAAUGGGGGGGUGGCCCAAAAUAAAAAAUGGGCCCUAUGUUAGAAAUGCCGGAGCUGAUUUCUGGUCCCAGUUUACCCCUGCUGACCUCUAUCCAUAGAUCUAUAUAAUUUCUCCUUGUUUGAGAGUAGACAUUUUAUUAUGUUAUGGCCCGUGGGGCUGUAACAGCAUAGGCAGGCUACAUGCCUGUCCUGUUGGGAGAGUCAGAAGGCUCAAACAUACGUUUUUAUAUUACAUUGUAAUAAAUCUCAGCAACAUCGUUCAA